GACGAACGCUGGCGGUGUGCUUAACACAUGCAAGUCGAACGGUAAGGCCCUUUCGGGGGUACACGAGUGGCGAACGGGUGAGUAACACGUGAGUAACCUGCCCUCCUCUCUGGGAUAACAGUCGGAAACGGUUGCUAAUACUGGAUAUGAGCUUGCAAGGCAUCUUGUGGGUUGGAAAGAUUUUUUUUGGUUGGGGAUGGACUCGCGGCCUAUCAGCUUGUUGGUGAGGUAGUGGCUCACCAAGGCUUCGACGGGUAGCCGGCCUGAGAGGGCGACCGGCCACAGUGGGACUGAGAUACGGCCCAAACUCCUACGGGAGGCAGCAGUGGAGAAUAUUGCACAAUGGACGGAAGUCUGAUGCAGCAACGCCGCGUGCGGGAUGACGGCCUUCGGGUUGUAAACCGCUUUCAAUUGUGACGAAGCUUUUUUGUGACGGUAGCAGUAGAAGAAGCACCGGCUAACUACGUG
rnacentral:rRNA from 1 species